rnacentral:rRNA from 1 species
UACGGAGGAUCCAAGCGUUAUCCGGAAUCAUUGGGUUUAAAGGGUCCGUAGGCGGUCAGAUAAGUCAGUGGUGAAAGCCCAUCGCUCAACGGUGGAACGGCCAUUGAUACUGUCUGACUUGAAUUAUUAGGAAGUAACUAGAAUAUGUAGUGUAGCGGUGAAAUGCUUAGAGAUUACAUGGAAUACCAAUUGCGAAGGCAGGUUACUACUAAUGGAUUGACGCUGAUGGACGAAAGCGUGGGUAGCGAACAGGAUUAGAUACCCUGGUAGUCCACGCCGUAAACGAUGGAUACUAGCUGUUGGGAGCAAUCUCAGUGGCUAAGCGAAAGUGAUAAGUAUCCCACCUGGGGAGUACGUUCGCAAGAAUGAA